rnacentral:tRNA from 1 species
GCCUGGGUGGCUCAGUGGGUUAAAGCCUCUGCCUUCGGCUCAGGUCAUGAUCCCAGGGUUCUGGGAUUGAGCCCCAGCUCGAGCA